rnacentral:rRNA from 1 species
UACGGGGGGAGCAAGCGUUGUUCGGAUUUACUGGGCGUAAAGGGCGCGUAGGCGGCCACUGCAAGUCGGUUGUGAAAUCUCCGGGCUUAACCCGGAAAGGUCAAUCGAUACUGCAGAGCUAGAGUGCAGAAGGGGCAACUGGAAUUCUCGGUGUAGCGGUGAAAUGCGUAGAUAUCGAGAGGAACACCUGCGGCGAAGGCGGGUUGCUGGGCUGACACUGACGCUGAAGCGCGAAAGCUAGGGGAGCGAACGGG